UUAAGUGAAUAAGGGCGCACGGUGGAUGCCUUGGCACUAGGAGCCGAUGAAGGACGGGACUAACACCGAUAUGCUUUGGGGAGCUGUAAGUAAGCUAUGAUCCAGAGAUUUCCGAAUGGGGGAACCCAGCAUCUUUUAUAGGAUGUUACGUCUGCGUGAAUACAUAGCGCAGUCGAGGUAGACGCAGAGAACUGAAACAUCUAAGUACCUGCAGGAAGAGAAAGAAAAUUCGAUUCCCUGAGUAGCGGCGAGCGAAACGGGAAAAGCCCAAACCAACAAGCUUGCUUGUUGGGGUUGUAGGACUCCGAUAUGGUAGUCUAUUCAGAUAGUCGAAAUACUUGGAAAAGUAUGUCAAAGAGGGUAAAAACCCCGUAGGCGAAAUUUGGAUAACACCUAGGAGGAUCCUGAGUACGGCGGAACACGAGGAAUUCCGUCGGAAUCCGGGAGGACCAUCUCCCAAGGCUAAAUACUCCCUAGUGACCGAUAGUGAACCAGUACCGUGAGGGAAAGGUGAAAAGCACCCCGGAAGGGGAGUGAAAUAGAUCCUGAAACCGUGUGCCUACAACAAGUUAGAGCCCGUUAAUGGGUGAUAGCGUGCCUUUUGUAGAAUGAACCGGCGAGUUACGAUAGCAUGCGAGGUUAAGUUGAAGAGACGGAGCCGCAGCGAAAGCGAGUCUGAAUAGGGCGAAUGAGUAUGUUGUCGUAGACCCGAAACCAUGUGAUCUACCCAUGUCCAGGUUGAAGGUGCGGUAAAACGCACUGGAGGACCGAACCCACGUACGUUGAAAAGUGCGGGGAUGAGGUGUGGGUAGCGGAGAAAUUCCAAACGAACUUGGAGAUAGCUGGUUCUCUCCGAAAUAGCUUUAGGGCUAGCCUCGGAAUUGAGAAUGAUGGAGGUAGAGCACUGUUUGGACUAGGGGCCCAUCUCGGGUUACCGAAUUCAGAUAAACUCCGAAUGCCAUUCAUUCAUAUCCGGGAGUCAGACUGUGAGUGAUAAGAUCCAUAGUCGAAAGGGAAACAGCCCAGACCACCAGCUAAGGUCCCCAAAUAACUAUUAAGUGGAAAAGGAUGUGGGGUUGCACAGACAACUAGGAUGUUGGCUUAGAAGCAGCCACCAUUUAAAGAGUGCGUAAUAGCUCACUAGUCGAGUGACCCUGCGCCGAAAAUGUACCGGGGCUAAAUAGUUUACCGAAGCUGUGGAGUGCACCAUCAGGUGCAUUGGUAGGAGAGCGUUCUAAGGGCGUUGAAGGCAGAUCGUGAGGACUGCUGGAGCGCUUAGAAGUGAGAAUGCCGGUAUGAGUAGCGAAAGACAGGUGAGAAUCCUGUCCACCGAAUGACUAAGGUUUCCUGGGGAAGGCUCGUCCGCCCAGGGUUAGUCGGGACCUAAGCCGAGGCCGACAGGCGUAGGCGAUGGACAACAGGUUGAUAUUCCUGUACCCGUUGUUUUUGUUUGAGCAAUGGAGGGACGCAGGAGGCUAAGAAGUGCAGACUGAUGGAUAUGUCUGUUCAAGCAGUAAGUCUUGGUAGGAGUCAAAUGCUUCUACCUAUACGGACAAGCUGUGAUGAGGAGGGAAAUAAUAGUACCGAAGCUUCUGAUGUCACACUGCCAAGAAAAGCUUCUAGUGAGAAAACAACGGCCCGUACCGCAAACCGACACAGGUAGUCGAGGAGAGAAUCCUAAGGUGAGCGAGAGAACUCUCGUUAAGGAACUCGGCAAAAUGACCCCGUAACUUCGGGAGAAGGGGUGCUGCUCUAACGAGCAGCCGCAGUGAAUAGGCCCAAGCGACUGUUUAUCAAAAACACAGGUCUCUGCAAAAUCGAAAGAUGACGUAUAGGGGCUGACGCCUGCCCGGUGCUGGAAGGUUAAGAGGAGUGCUUAGCGUAAGCGAAGGUACGAAUUGAAGCCCCAGUAAACGGCGGCCGUAACUAUAACGGUCCUAAGGUAGCGAAAUUCCUUGUCGGGUAAGUUCCGACCCGCACGAAAGGUGUAACGACUUGCGCACUGUCUC
rnacentral:rRNA from 1 species